UUGCAAACAUAGCAGCAAGUCCAAUUGCAAAUGUUGGUGUGAUGCCCUCAGAGCCCUUAAAGGUAUCAGGCGAGGACUUGCAGGAAGACUGAGAGUUGUCUCAACGUCAGCUGCAGUGGCAGAUACCUGAAGGGAACAAAUACAUUAUCCUUACCAUAAUAAGAUUUUUAAGAAGAAAAUUUAUAAAAAGGACAAUAAUUAGUAAACACUAGGUGGAAUGUAACCAAGACGUGAACGAGAUGCAAGACCCGAUGAAUUUGAUGAAGAACACUUGAGAAUGUGCAGCACGUCAUCUAAAUUGUACGUCCUCUUCUGGAAAAUCUCCAAUCCAAAUAAUGGUUCCCGAAAUUCCAUCCAGG